AUCAUGUUGAAACACCAGUUCCCGUACGAUCACCGAAAUUAAGCAACAUCAAGUCUGGUCAGUACCUAGAUGGGUAACCACUUGGGAAUACUACGGGGUGUAAG